rnacentral:rRNA from 2 species
GUNNCUCUGACACCCUAGAGAUAGGGCUUUCCCCUUCGGGGGACAGAGUGACAGGUGGUGCAUGGNUUGUCGUCAGACUCGUGUCGUGAGAUGUUGGGUUAAGUCCCGCAACGAGCGCAACCCUUGAUCUUAGUUGCCAGCAUUCAGUUGGGCACUCUAAGGUGACUGCCGGUGACAAACCGGAGGAAGGUGGGGAUGACGUCAAAUCAUCAUGCCCCUUAUGACCUGGGCUACACACGUGCUACAAUGGAUGGUACAAAGGGCUGCAAACCUGCGAAGGUAAGCGAAUCCCAUAAAGCCAUUCUCAGUUCGGAUUGCAGGCUGCAACUCGCCUGCAUGAAGCCGGAAUCGCUAGUAAUCGCGGAUCAGCAUGCCGCGGUGAAUACGUUCCCGGGCCUUGUACACACCGA